UGGGGAAUCUUGCACAAUGGGCGAAAGCCUGAUGCAGCGACGCCGUGUGCGGGAUGAAGGCCUUCGGGUUGUAAACCGCUUUCAGCAGGGACGAGGCCGCAAGGUGACGGUACCUGCAGAAGAAGCCCCGGCUAACUACGUGCCAGCAGCCGCGGUAAUACGUAGGGGGCAAGCGUUAUCCGGAUUCAUUGGGCGUAAAGCGCGCGUAGGCGGUUUGUUAGGUCAGGAGUUAAAUCUGGGGGCUCAACCCCUAUCCGCUCCUGAUACCGGCAGGCUUGAGUCUGGUAGGGGAAGGCGGAAUUCCAAGUGUAGCGGCGAAAUGCGCAGAUAUUUGGAAGAACACCGGUGGCGAAGGCGGCCUUCUGGGCCACGACUGACGCUGAGGCGCGAAAGCUAGGGGGGCGAACAGG
rnacentral:rRNA from 1 species